GCCCGAGUAGCUCAGCGUGUAGAGCGUUAGGCUUUUAACCAAAUGGUCCAGGGUUCGAGCCCCUACUCGGGCG
rnacentral:tRNA from 1 species